UAAAAAUAGAGUACAAAUAUUUUUUAAAAAAUUUAUGAAUAUGUUUAAGUCUCUGUCGCGGACAAAAUACCUAGCUAAGAAGGAAAGAAGAAGAGAGGGACAAGGGGAGAUGGAGUAAGAAAGACGUAAGUAUUAAACCGUGCAUAUAACUUUCAUUUUCCACAAGCAAGAGUAAUAAUCUUCAUUGCAUUUUCUUACCAAUACUGAUACAUCAUACAUUUGUUAGGCAACACGUCUUUUUCUUUUUCUCCUUUCAUAAUUUUCUUUUAUUCUUAUACAAAUUCAUAUCACGUUCACACACAUGCUUUAUUGUUUUACAAACAUGUUUAAACUUAGAACCCCCGCAAACAAGUUUAUAUUUUGAACCAAAAACCGUUGUAAGUUCGCAAAAAAAAAAACCGUUGUAUAAAUAAUUAAGAGAUUAUAACCAAAGAAACACACAUAGUAAAUUAAAUAGCUAGAAAAAUGGAAUAAAAAAUCAAAAAUUUUACAAAAAAAAACUAAAUGUUUAAAAAGAAAAACUAAGCAAAACCAAACCAAUCUUGAAAUCAAAUGAAAGGCCGAAACUAACACGCAAAACUAGGGAUGUUAUAACGGGUUUCUUUAGCGGGUUUUUAAUGGGUAUUAAAAAUAAACAAAAGCCCAUUUAGACCCAAUUAGAGUACUGGGUUUUCAAUGGGUUAUCCGACUAAGACCCAUUUAUUAUAUGGGGUUUAGCUAAAAUAAAUGGGGACCCUACUAACCCAUUUAAGUUUUUUUUCUUUAAUCAAAAACGUUGUCGUUUAAUUUUAUGUACAGGUUUUCUAAUUAUAUCAAAAAAAAAAAAAAAUCUGUCUACUCUUUCUCUCCGCCGAAUCUCAAUCUCUACAAGCAUCGAAGGAUCAGUAAACGUUAAUGCUCUUCUUGUGUCGCUUCACCUCUUCAUCACCAGUUCACUGCAAGUUCCAGUUACAGCAUGGAUCAGUUAAUAGACAUGAAUGAAGAAGAUGCUCUAGCUAAGAUAAAUUUAGAAGAUACACAACCACAAGCACAGCAAAGUGAAACUCAAGUAGGGGAAUCAACUCAAGCUCCACACAAAAGACGUAAAACAUCGCUCGUUUGGGAAGACUUUGUGUCAGUGGGAGUAGAAGAAGAUGGCAAAGAAAGGGCCAAGUGUUUGCAUUGCGGUACGAAGUUAGUGACACGUAGUGAAACGAAUCACAGCUUUGGGACUCAUCAUCUUCAACGCCAUUUGGAUACUUGUUCAAAGAAGCCUUUGAAGGAAGCUAAACCUGCAUAUGAUCAAAAGAUAGAUCGUGGUCUGAUUAGCGAGGUAAUCAUAUAUCAUGAUCUCCCUUUUAGAUAUGUAGAAAGGCAAAACAUAUGGAAGAACUGAAGGACAACUAUGGACACAACCAAAGACCGCAACAACUGAACGAACGUAGAAUACCAAAUGUCUUCUUUUUUUUUGUUAUCAACAUUAUAAACGUAGGAUCAUAACCACUUUGGAUGCCUCACAGAGGCCGUCAUGUCACUGGUAAACAAAUAGUUCGUUAACGAAACUUGACAAACUAAUAGUAACAGGGUAAUUUGUACAAACAUCUUAAUAUCAACAUCAUAAUUUUGUACAAACAUCUUAAUAACAGGGUAAUUUGUACGCA